GUUUCAAUUGGUGUUUUCCAGCUUUAUAGCACGAGACCAAACGCAUGACAACGAAAAAGAUGAGAAGUUCCUUUCGGCAUUUACAGAAUUGUGGAAAACUAUCAAUUCCUUACUGGAGACAGAGAAAAAGGAUGUGGUACUCGACUUAAUGAACUUUCCAUUAAUUUAUUUGUUGUUAAUGGCCGAAUCCGCUGAAUGUUUAAUCUCAAUAGGCCGCGUUCGCUAAACAUUUGUUUCAGUUUACUGUUCAACAUAAGUAAUAUUAUUGGAUAGAAAGAUCCGAACACAACAUUAUUUUAUGUAAUGUUAGAAACUUACAGCUCUUUGUUGGCAGAAAAUGACAUUCCCAGCAUCAGAAAUGUUUUUAGUAAGUUUAAACAAAAGUGGCAUUUCGUUGGUCUUUUCACAUCCAUAGAGUUUCCAUGCUACACAAUCCUCCACACCUUUUGCAUCAGUAUUACACGACUUCCCAAAGAUCACUCAACCCACCACCAAAGAAUCACCAGUGAAACAUCAAGUAGUACACCACAUUAUUACCAAAGGUCCCCCAUGCUCUGCACGUCCACGCCGUCUCCCACCUGAUCGUUUACACAUUGCCAAAAAAGAAUUCCAACAAAUGCUUGAUCUUAGAAUCAUCCGCCCUUCCAGCAGUCAGUAUGCCUCUCCUCUCCACAUGGUUCCCAAGCCACAACCCGGUGACUGGCGACCCUGUGGUGACUACCGUGCGCUUAACCGAAUGACUGUACCCGAUCAGUAUCCCGUUCCACAUCUUCAGGAUUUCUCUGCCAAUCUCCACGAUCAAAAACAUGUAUAAUGUGUUAAACAAUGGAUCAUUCGAUGAAUACAGACUGGAGAGUUAGGUGCGGCCAUUCAUUCCAUGGAUGCUUGCUUUGGUCUAACUCGCAAAAAGUUGGCAGGGAAUAGUUUUGCUGUCCCAAACCAUGGCUGCCUUAAGUUUGCUAAUCAGGAUGAAGUAGAUGAUUUUGUUGAUCAAUAUAGCAAGUCUAAUAACAAAGUAGGAGAGAGUUGUCAGAUAUUUAAGGCAGGAGAAGUUACAGAAGCACUUCACUCCAAAG